ACACUCCUGCGGGAGGCAGCAGUGGGGAAUAUUGGACAAUGGGCGCAAGCCUGAUCCAGCCAUGCCGCGUGAGUGAUGAAGGCCCUAGGGUUGUAAAGCUCUUUCACCGGUGAAGAUAAUGACGGUAACCGGAGAAGAAGCCCCGGCUAACUUCGUGCCAGCAGCCGCGGUAAUACGAAGGGGGCUAGCGUUGUUCGGAUUUACUGGGCGUAAAGCGCACGUAGGCGGACUAUUAAGUCAGGGGUGAAAUCCCGGGGCUCAACCCCGGAACUGCCUGUGAUACUGGUAGUCUUGAGUUCGAGAGAGGUGAGUGGAAUUCCGAGUGUAGAGGUGAAAUUCGUAGAUAUUCGGAGGAACACCAGUGGCGAAGGCGGCUCACUGGCUCGAUACUGACGCUGAGGUGCGAAAGCGUGGGGAGCAAACAGGAUUAGAUACCCGGGUAGUCCC
rnacentral:rRNA from 1 species